rnacentral:rRNA from 1 species
GAUGAACGCUGGCGGCGUGCCUAAUACAUGCAAGUCGAGCGAACGGACGAGAAUCUUGCUUCUCUGAUGUUAGCGGCGGACGGGUGAGUAACACGUGGAUAACCUACCUAUAAGACUGGGAUAACUUCGGGAAACCGUAGUUAAUACCGGAUAAUAUUGUGAACCGCAUGGUUCAAAAGUGAAAGACGUUCUUGCUGUCACUUAUAGAUGGAUCCGCGCUGCAUUAGCUAGUUGGUAAGGUAACGGCCUACCAAGGCAACGAUGCAUAGCCGACCUGAGAGGGUGAUCAGUCACACUGGAACUGAGACACGGUCCAGACUCCUACGGGAGGCAGCAGUAGGGAAUAUUCCGCAAUGGGCGAAAGCCUGACGGAGCAACGCCGCGUGAGUGAUGAAGGUCUUCGGAUCGUAAAGCUCUGUUAUUAGGGAAGAACAUAUGUGUAAGUAACUGUGCACAUCUUGACGGUACCUACUCAGAAAGCCACGGCUAACUACGUG